CAAAUGUCGUUUUAACCAAAAUAAAAACUAUAAAUGAGAAAAUAAACCGUAAAAAGAGCAUUUUUAUAAUUUUGGUUUAAAAAUCGAUUCUUUGAUUAAUAAAAUUUAUCUCAGAUCGUGAACCUACCUUAAGGUUCAACGAUGCAAAUGUCAAUAUGUCGUUUGUUACGGUCGGCAAUGGUUUUUCAUUGAAUCAGUUUACUGAGUUUGGUACCUUACCUACUGGUGAAUUCUUUUAUCCGUAUUUUGCAUAGUUCAAAUCAGGUAAUAUAAACUUUUUUGCGUAAGCGGUGUGAGUGCUGAUUCGAGAUAAUAUGAUUGUAACCUUCGGAAGCGACAGGAAAUUAAUUGCAUGAUUUUUGUGUCGUUUCAUCUCAAGUAAAUAAACUUAGGCAACUUAUUAAUACUUUAAAUUUUAUUAAAUAUCAAUAAUAACAAUAAAAUUGUUUUCAAAUGAAGCAUUAGUUUAAAAGCGAUAAGCAUAAGCUUGAUGAGCAUUUUUUGCUUUAUCCUAGUUUUUACUUACGAUUAAUAUUUACGACGACGAAUAUAAUAAUUCAAUAGCUUAGAGUAAAAAGCAACAUUAAGCUCUGGCUUAUUUAUAAUAAUAUUAUUAUAACCUCAUAUUAUGUGACCUUCUUAAAAUAAUAGAUAACGAAACAAAGCCACAAAAAAAAACAAAAACACAUAAUAUCUACUUAAGUAGGAAAAUUACAUUAAUGUAAUUAAAUUUAAGAUUUACAUUUCAACAUUACCUACAUAAACUUGAACAAUAAAAAUUGAGAAACCAUUUUAUUAUUCUGUAACGAUUAUAAAAGGAAGCCACUGAAAAUCAAAUAUAAAAAAGGUACCAUGUCAUAAAUGUGAAAUAAAUUAUAUAAUAUAUUUUUUUCUAUUUAUUUCACUGUUUGUACAGAAUACGAAAUUUUCAAAUUCAAAUAGGUUUUUGUAAGAACUGAGGAAUUUGAUAUAUUGAUUUCAUUAAAAUGGUUUAUUAAACCAACGCUAUUGUUUCUGUUCUGAAAACGUGUCCUUAAAUGAUGACUUAAAACUUGCGCAAAAACUUUAUUAAACGAAAUAUUCACUUUAGCACAAUUAAAUGCACUCGGAGUACCAAAACGAUGUAAUAAGAGUUACUACUCAAACACAGGAAACAUUAAACAAUUUUUGUUUAUUUUUUAUCACAAUGCUCAGUAAUAACUAAGUACUUACUUACUAUAAAUGGAUUUUAGCUAAUAAAGUAUGAUCAACUUCUAAGUGAUUUUUAAAUUAAAUGUAAGUAUAGAUUAGAUCUCUAGAUUAGAUAUAUAGAUAUCAUUCCAAGCACUUUGAAAUUCUGAAAAAAAAUAAUUGAAACGAAUAUUCAUUAAAAUUAAUUGGUUCAACGCAAUUUUCACGCGAAAACAGAUUUUUCAUUUUCUAUCUCUGUCAAACAGAUACGAGCAUAUCUUUGACUCAGCACUUAUCGAAAUUCGUUACCUUGUCGCUAAUGGACAUCGCCGUCACUAAUGCGGACCAAGCCGCUUAUUAUUUUUCUGGACUCGUUUCUUAUAUAAUUCGAAUAUGAACACUUCAUAGAGUUACGAAGCAUGAAGGAGAGGAGUUCAUUCCAGAGACAAGUUUUUCAUAGCAAAAAUAAUCAUUGGAGGUUCAUCGUCGGAAACCUCAAUGGUGGUGGUGAAAAUCCGUUUCGCUUGCGAUUUGUGGAGUCAUCUCAAUACUUCCUCAGACCACUUUUAAUGAAAUUUAUUACGUAGAUUUCAAUUAAUGACAAUAAUCGAAUAUCAGCGAGACUGACCAUAUUGGCUUUGUGAAGAAUAAGUCUUCGAACGGAUAAGAAGUUCUUAAUCUUUUUCUUUGUAGAGGUAAUUCCAAUAUUUUCAAAGAAAGCUUAGCUUUACUGUUCAAAUUAAUACGAUAUUAUACGAAAUUAAUACGACACCGAGCAAAAAAUCACCUCUGAAAAAGAAAUAUUCUAUUAAAAUUGGACAGCAGCAGAAUUCGUGUGGUCUAUUUUAUCAUUUAAUGCAAGGUGUGUUAAGAUAUGGUGAUUAAUGUUGUAUGGUUAAGGUUUGUUAUAUACAAGGUGAAGGUAUAAAUAACAGUAUUUAAAAUUAUAGCACCAUAAAAACUCAUUUCAAUUCCACACAUUUUGAGACCUAGCCCUAAUAUUUGGUCACUUUAUAAUAUAAUACAGGCUUCGCGAUAUUCUCUUGAUCAGAACGACAGAUACGUUACAGGAGUGGAAUGAAAAAUGUUGAUUUGAUGUGAAAUUAUAAUAAAAAUAAUAUAAUGAAACGAGAUAAAACGAAAUUAAAUAUUAUUCGAGUUAAAAUUUGGUGGGAAUUUACCGACACUUAUCAGGUAUUUUUGGACGUACCCAAGAAGCCCUGUUCAGCAACAUUAUUUGUAUUUCAUUUUCCAUUAAAAUUACAGUUACAGAUACUAAUCCUUUAAUAAGCUCGGUUAGGCCUGAAGAAACACCUAAUUGGCAAAAUAAAGUAAUCAAAAUAACAUCGGUCCUUCUAUUCCUACAAAAAUGCCUACGUGGAAAGAACGUGGUAAUAUUACGAAAAUUCGUUGACUAGCGUAUUACUGUUAUUUGUAUGGAUUUAUCUGUAUCGUCGAGAGAAAAAUAUUUGGCAAUAAAUGUUUCAUUUUAAGUACCUGGGACCAUAAUUGAGGACCGUUAUCACGCAGUCUCAAGAAAGCAAGUAGGUAGGUACAAACCAGUAGUACUGCUUCACCAGAUGUUCCAUGUUUGGUAGAGACCAUACUGGCUGGUCAAAGUAGUCUAGCCGGUUUUUUCUGGAGCAAUUUGAGUUGCAUUUCUCAACAAAUCACGUGUUUUAAAUAAUAUAGGGAGUGUGAAAACAACAAGAAAUUCCGUUGUACUUUUUUUUUCUAGUAGAUGAACAGAAGGCCAUCGUGUGAUCAGGUCCAAGUAUGUAUGGGAUGAAGGCUACCUUAGUAUUCACACUGGAGAGUGUGAUUAUUUCGGAGCUAAAUAAAACCACCACGAACAGUACAACAAAAUUAUACUUUAUUUCUUUUAACGUCUUAUAUUUUAUAUAGUAACAUAUAAAUAGUUUUAUUAAUAGCAACUUUAUAGCAUAUAAAGAUACAAAUAACCAAAAAAAUAACCAAAAUACGCGAAUAUACUUUGUGCGCUAAUAUAUUUCAAAUAGUUGUAAUUAUUCAUUAUUUAGAUAUUUAUUCAUAAGUGCUCAUGUUUCAAAAAGGCUCCGAGUUUUCUGUUGCUUUCACAAACAGAUAUCUUAUAAAUAAUUUAAUAACAUCAUGUUAGUUCUCAUAUUAUUAUGUUCAACAAUGUGUUUAUACUAUCUUUGUUAGUUCUAAUGUUUAGAUUAUAUACUAGUCUAUUAUUAGGUCCUAAAAUACUAAUGAAUUAGUAAGUUGUUCCAAUGUCACCUUUUCUGAUCGUCCCGAUCGUCCAGUAAACAAUAGUAAAUAGUAUUAAUUUUAUUUGUAUUAAAUGAAUUUAUUACAAAUAAUGAUAUGUGAUUACUUAUUCGAUUAAAUUAUUUAACAUGAAAGUAACAAUUUAAAUAUCACAUAAUAUUCGUAGAAAUAUUUAUUACGAUUAUAGUUUUAAUAUCUUUAAAUGGUCCAUUAUUAAGCGCAUUAUAUAUCACGUGUCUGUCUAAAUACCUAUUAUUGUGCAGUGCUUAUGAAGGCUUCGUUUAUUAUAUUCCAUUUUGUACCGUUCCAUUUAUUCCUCUUUUUAGAGGAAUCAAUUUACCCUACGCGUAUGGUGAGUUGCAGUUUUUAGGUGACACGUGGCGCAACAGUGAGUUAUACAUCAUUUUAUUCAGUGUUAUUCAUUAAGAAUACAAGUACGCAUGAGCGCAUCGAUCACAGAGUACGGGUCACAGUUUGAAGCCGGUCGACGAUCUUCCAAAUAACCCUUCUUAUCUUCAGCGACAGAGCGAGGUAUUCUGAUACUGCUACCACGAUUAGCCACGCCUG